GUGGUCACUUUGGCAACAUACAUACCAACAUGGGAAUGAUACAGAAAAGACUGGCAGGGCCCCUACACAAGGAAAACAAAAAAAUAACUUUUUUUUUUCUUUUUUUU
rfam:Nomascus leucogenys chromosome 14, whole genome shotgun sequence.